AAUGAACGCUGGCGGCAGGCCUAACACAUGCAAGUCGAGCGAGCGGCGGACGGGUGAGUAAUGUAUGGGGAUUUGCCCGAAAGAGGGGGAUAACUACUGGAAACGGUGGCUAAUACCGCAUCCUAUCGGAUGAACCCAUAUGGGAUUAGCUAGUAGGUGGGGUAAAGGCUCACCGAGGCGACGAUCUCUAGCUGGUCUGAGAGGAUGAUCAGCCACACGUGGACGGAGACGCGGCCCAGAAUCCUACGUGAGGCAGCAGUGGGGAAUAUUGCACAAUGGGCGGAAGCCUGAUGCAGCCAUGCCGCGUGUAUGAAGAAGGCCUUCGGGUUGUAAAGUUCUUUCGGUAGCGAGGCGUUAGCUACUGAUGAAGCACCGGCUAACUCCGUGCCAGCCGCCGCGGUAAUAC
rnacentral:rRNA from 1 species